UACGGAGGAUCCAAGCGUUAUCCGGAUUUAUUGGGUUUAAAGGGUGCGCAGGCGGAAGAUUAAGUCGGCGGUGAAAUUUUGCAGCUCAACUGUAAAAGCGCCAUCGAUACUGGUUUUCUUGAGUGUGGAUGAAGUAGGCGGAAUUUGUGGUGUAGCGGUGAAAUGCAUAGAUAUCACGAGGAACUCCGAUUGCGCAGGCAGCUUACUAGGCCAUAACUGACGCUCAGGCACGAAGGCGUGGGGAUCAAACAGGAUUAGA
rnacentral:rRNA from 1 species